ACCUGAGUUGAGAUAAAGGGUCAGAUACUUAACCAAUUGAGCCACCCAGGUGCCCCUAUAAACUUGCAUUUUUAAGGCUGGAGUUUAUCUAGGGACCAGCCCUCUGGUUUUUCAUAGGAGGAAAACAAGCCUCAGAGCAGUGAAGGUUCUUUCACUCAGUCAUCCAGUGUGGUCAUCCAGCUUGGUCAUCCAGCUAAAAUUAGAAUUACACUCAUGUCUCUAAGUCCAGUGCCCUUUCCACCCCUCCCAGUUGCCUCUUCUAAUGACUACAAAGCCUAACAAUGUAAGUGUUAUUCAGACAGGCAGGUAUAGACAAAUAAAGCAAGAAUGUAAGGUUGACUAUGAGAAGGCCUAAAAUUACCCAACUAAUGUGAAAUGAUUUAUCAAAGGAGAGGUGAAUUUUCUGGAAUGUGGAGUAAUGAGGAAUUACAGGGUUACUCAACCUUUAUCACAGCACCAAGCUCUAGAAGGCCAAGGCCUGAAGGAGUGGGGAGAUGUAUAGAUACCACACGACUGGGGUAGGAAGGUGGGCAGAUUAAGCAGAUGUCAGUGGUUGGCCAACUUGACCAAAUGUUGAGUCACAAAUCUGGCCAGAAUCGGAAUCAAGAAACAGACCAAUGCCCAAGGUAGGUGGCACUGGAAAGACCUAGGAAAACUAGAAAUAAAACACACUACAUGAUUUCUUUUAAAAAAAAUAUCUGGAGGAGAAGAUGAAAAUGUUAUGGAGAUAAAAAUGCUGGUAAUGGCUACACAGCAAUGUAAAUGUACUUACCACUGAACUUAAAAUUCAUUAAACUGUAAAUUGUAUUAGAUGUAUAUUUUACCACAAUUUAAAAAAAUCAUGAUCCAAUCAUGAUCCAGUAGUUCAGGUUGAUCUUUCUCUUCCCCUCCCAAGCAAAUCCUUCUAUGUCAGAAAGAGUCAGAAUAUGUUAAAACGGUGGUUGGGGUAAAGAUAGAAGACAUCUACUGCCCUAAAGGAACAUUUUGUAAUUUUGUGGGUAUUUUGGUUUGCACAGUGAAUGGGAUACAACUGGCCAGGAUCCUGGGAUUAGAAGAGUCCAGUAAUAUGUGGGUCGGGCAAGCAAAGAGCUUUUGGCUAUCAGAGACAAGCUUUGAAUGUCAUUGCCAAGUGAGAACCAUGUUUACAAAGAUCUGAGCCUAACCUUAUUUUUAUUACAAGAAAAACAGUAUUUUUGAAUAGUUCUAAAUGCACUGUUAUUUCCUAGGAAUGCCAUUACCAUAUAAAUGCAGGAAAGGUCGGAUGUUGUUUCACUUAUAACUUCACCCAGCAGUCUGUACCAUUUUGGAAGAUCACCUCACCAAUGGUGAUACCACAUGUGGUAUUUGAGCCAUUAACACAUUCCAGUGUCAAUCUGCAUUUCUAGCUGCCACAGUCACAAUGAUUCUACAUGGUCCUCCCUGGCAUGCUGUCAUUCUCGUGGGGCUGUACCCGGUUGGGUGUGAGGGCAGGGGCUGAGAUGAGACCUCCAGAGCCGCCCAGCAAUCCUGGUCCGCAGAUCUGCCUCCAUGUCAGGGACGGUGGUCCAGCCCUCAUGUGAUUUGACCGACCUCCUGGAAUCCUUCCCUUCUGCCACCCUGCAGAGAUCCUGUCACCUGAGCUUGCUGAAGGUGUACAACAUAGUGAGUCAGCACUUCUAUGGCUAAUUCAGCGCUCAUCACAGUCUCACUCAACCCCGUGGGAGAAUAUGAAUAGCAACUCUAAAUUACAAUGAGGAAAGAGGAGCAGAAAGCUUGAAUGACUGGCUCAAAAUCACAUGCAAAGGAGGAGUGGAGCCAAGAUUUACACUACCCAACAUCCACCAUCGAUGUCAUCUUGAACCUGAAAUUAUUCAUUUGGAUUUUAUUACAUUGUGAAUAAUUAGGGUCACCAGAAGUCAAAUGAUGGACCCUCUUGGCUUUCGGACCUUGUUUGGAUGCAUUUUGCACGGCAAGCUUUAUCAAGGUCAAUUUCUUACAGUCUCUGCCUCAUAUCAUUAAAUCUGCAAAGAAAUCUGCUUAGAAUGUGGAUGUGAAACUUUUUACUUGAUAGGAUGUUUCUCCAACCCCAUUCUGUGGAGUAUGUAUUUUCUGUUAUAUUGAUCCAUUUUGAAAAACUUCACCUGCAUUUUUCAGAUUGAACUUUUAUUAGAAAGUGCUCUUGCAGUUAAGAGAAGUCAAAGAAGGAGGUGACUGUUGCAAAAGGGUCUUGUGCAUGGUAGUUGAAGAAUGGCUCCCCAAUGGUCUGUCCACAUUCUAAUCUUCAGAACCUGUGAGUGUUGCUUUGAGAUGAGAUUGCCUUGGAUUACCUGAGUGGGCUGUAAAUGCCAACACAAGAGAAAUACAGAGAGAAAUUUGACACAGAUACACAGAGGAGAAGUGGUUUGAAGACAGAGACAAAGUUUGCACCAAUGGGACCACAAGCUGAGGAAGCUAAGGAACGCCAACAAUCACCAGAAGCUGAAAGAAGCAAAGAAGGGCUCUUCUUUAAAGCUUCUGAAGAGAAGUGCUAGAUUUUGGACUUUUGGCCUUGAGAACUCAGAGAGAAUACAUUUUUUCUUGUUUUAAGGCACCAAAUUUGAGGUGAUUUGUUAUAGCCACUCUGGAAAACUAACUUAAGUACCUUUACUGAAUUCACCAUGGUCCUCAACCUUGUUGGUCCUGAAAAUCCAGUUUCAUUACUUUAGUCAGAAAUGCCCUAGCCCUGGAUGACUACUUCUCACUAACCAAAUUCACAAGCAACAGAUUGAAAACCAGAUUAUCAAUCUAUUUAUUUACCAGGAAAAAAUAACCAUGUUCUAGUAAUUAGGAUUAAUGACAUGGUUAGAGCAUUUAGAGGUAUAUUUAGAAGGAACAAGAUUCCUCUUAUAACCAGCCUCGGGCAUGAGACUUCCUGGGACCUCCCCAACUUGAGCUGAAGACCAAAGAGAAUCAGAAACAAUGUGAAAAGGUUAGAACAUCGAUGUUGCUGUAGAGUUGGUGCUAGCCAGGGCUACUGGAAAAUGAAAUGUGCAAAAUUUCACAACCCAGGAAAGGGUCCAUACAGCAGUCCGGAGGCAGACUUCCUUCCUCCUUGGGGGACCUCAGUCUUUGCUGUUAAAGCCUUUAUCAGUUAGAUGAGGCCCACCCACAUUAUGAAGAGAAAACUGCUUUUGUCAAAGUGUACUGAUUUAAAUGUUAAUCACAUCUUUAAAAUCCCAUCGCAACAACAUCUAUCCUGAUGUUUGACCAAACAUGUGGAUACCAUAGCCUAGACAAGUUGACACAUAAAAUUAACCAUCACACUGUCUAUUCAUGAUAGUAUUCUAACCAACAGAAAGACAACACAAAAUGCAAGAGCCAGUUCUCCAGAGAAGGAACCAGGGAAUGCAAUGAAGAACCCAGAAAAACCAUGCCUGGGCAUUACUAAAGGUUGUACAGAAAAGGGAGGACUUCUCAGAAAUUGGACCCUGAAAAUAUCUAUAAUAUUUCAACUGGGGUCAAGUCUGAGAAGGAUUUGUAUUGAGCUUCACCUGAAAGUGUACUUGCCACCUCCUAACGCUUCUACAUUUGGUAUGAAGAUGUUGGUGGUCACCCAGUAAGUCUGGGAGCAGCUGGAACUUUCAUUCUAACCAGCUAGAUGGCAGACUGAUGUAUACAUGGCAGCACAUCUUCUGAGCUAUGAUGUCAACGAACACAGACAGGAUCAAUAUAAAUUCCCAAAGUCUGAAACCAGAAUGACUAGAAAUGAAUUCUGAAUAAGUAAGGUGAUAUUGUUGUCCAAGAAAUCUAAACUGCACAGUGAAAACCAAAUCCAGAACUUGGUCUUUAAGAUUUUGUUGAUUGGGGGAUGCCUGGGUGGCUCAGCGUUUGAGGGUCUGCCAAAGGCUCAGGGCAUGAUCCUGGGGCCCGUGAUUGAGUCCCGCAUCAGGCUCCCCAUAGGGA